rnacentral:rRNA from 1 species
UACGUAGGGGGGCGAGCGUUGUCCGGAUUUGAUGGCGUAAAGAGCGUGUAGGCGGUUCGGUAAGUCUGUCGUGAAAUCCUGAGGCUCAACCUCGGGCGUGCGAUGGAUACUGCCGGGCUAGAGGGUGGUAGAGGCGAGUGGAAUUCCCGGUGUAGCGGUGAAAUGCGCAGAUAUCGGGAGGAACACCAGUAGCGAAGGCGGCUCGCUGGGCCACACCUGACGCUGAGACGCGAAAAGCUAGGGGAGCGAACAGG